CCUUAUGAAGCUAUGUUUGGAUCAGUGAAAAAGAUUGGACUUGCGGACUCCUCUCUUUCCAGUAAUUUAUAUUCGUCUAUAGAAACAGAAGAAGAAUUGGAACUACUCCUUUCUUCAAUAAAAGGCAAUGAUAAAGACAACAGUGGUGAAGAAAAAGGCAACAAACAAACUAUUGAAGACAAAAAUAGGCCUCAAUCUGGAAAUAUAAAAAAACAGAAAAUAUUGAUUACAAUAAACUUUAUUGUGUGAUUUGUGAAAAAGAAACUUCUGGAGCCCAUAAGUGUUCAGGGUGUCAUCAAUAUGUU
rnacentral:lncRNA from 1 species